rnacentral:rRNA from 1 species
UACGGGGGGGGCAAGCGUUGUUCGGAAUUACUGGGCGUAAAGGGCUCGUAGGUGGCCAACUAAGUCAGACGUGAAAUCCCCAGGCUCAACUUGGGAACUGCGUCUGAUACUGGAUGGCUUGAAUUCGGGAGAGGGAUGCAGAAUUCCAGGUGUAGCGGUGAAAUGCGUAGAUAUCUGGAGGAAUACCGGUGGCGAAGGCGGCAUCCUGGACCAACACUGACACUGAGGAGCGAAAGCCAGGGGAGCAAACGGG